rnacentral:rRNA from 1 species
GAUGAACGCUGGCGGCGUGCCUAAUACAUGCAAGUCGAACGCAUUGAGAGAAGUGCUUGCACUUUUCAAUUUGAGUGGCGGACGGGUGAGUAACACGUGGGCAACCUGCCUUUGAGGCCGGGAUAACACCGGGAAACCGGUGCUAAUACCGGAUACGUCCUCUUUCGCGCCUGCGAGAGGGGAGAAAGACGGUCUUUAAGGCCGUCGCUCAAAGAGGGGCCCGCGGCGCAUUAGCUAGUUGGUGGGGCAAGGGCCUACCAAGGCGACGAUGCGUUGCCGACCUGAGAGGGUGAUCGGCCACACUGGGACUGAGACACGGCCCAGACUCCUGCGGGAGGCAGCAGUAGGGAAUCAUCCGCAAUGGGCGAAAGCCUGACGGUGCAACGCCGCGUGAGUGAGGAAGGUUUUCGGAUCGUAAAGCUCUGUUGUGAGGGAAGAACAGCUUCCGGAGGAAAUGCCGGAGGUUUGCCGGUACCUCACCAGAAAGCCCCGGCUGACUACGUGCCAGCCGCCGCGGUAA